rnacentral:rRNA from 1 species
AAAUUGAAGAGUUUGAUCAUGGCUCAGAUUGAACGCUGGCGGCAGGCCUAACACAUGCAAGUCGAACGGUAACAGGAAGCAGCUUGCUGCUUCGCUGACGAGUGGCGGACGGGUGAGUAAUGUCUGGGAAACUGCCUGAUGGAGGGGGAUAACUACUGGAAACGGUGGCUAAUACCGCAUAAUGUCGCAGGACCAAAGAGGGGGA